ACCCGCUGAACUUAAGCAUAUCAAUAAGCGGAGGAAAAGAAACCAACAGGGAUUGCCCUAGUAACGGCGAGUGAAGCGGCAACAGCUCAAAUUUGAAAUCUGGCUUCGGCCCGAGUUGUAAUUUGUAGAGGAUGCUUUGGGCGCGGCUCUAACUGAGUUCCCUGGAACGGGACGCCACAGAGGGUGAGAGCCCCGUAUAGUUAGAUGCCUAGCCUAUGUAAAGCUCCUUCGACGAGUCGAGUAGUUUGGGAAUGCUGCUCUAAAUGGGAGGUAAAUUUCUUCUAAAGCUAAAUAUUGGCCAGAGACCGAUAGCGCACAAGUAGAGUGAUCGAAAGAUGAAAAGCACUUUGAAAAGAGGGUUAAAUAGCACGUGAAAUUGUUGAAAGGGAAGCGCUUGUGACCAGACUUGCGCCGGGCAGAUCAUCCGGUGUUCUCACCGGUGCACUCUGCCCGGCUCAGGCCAGCAUCGGUUCUCGUGGGGGGAUAAAGGUCCCGGGAACGUAGCUCCUCCGGGAGUGUUAUAGCCCGGGGCGUAAUGCCCUCGUGGGGACCGAGGUUCGCGCAUCUGCAAGGAUGCUGGCGUAAUGGUCAUCAGCGACCCGUCUUGAAACACGG
rnacentral:rRNA from 1 species